GAGCGGUAGCACAGAGAGCUUGCUCUCGGGUGACGAGCGGCGGACGGGUGAGUAAUGUCUGGGAAACUGCCUGAUGGAGGGGGAUAACUACUGGAAACGGUAGCUAAUACCGCAUAAUGUCGCAAGACCAAAGUGGGGGACCUUCGGGCCUCAUGCCAUCAGAUGUGCCCAGAUGGGAUUAGCUAGUAGGUGGGGUAACGGCUCACCUAGGCGACGAUCCCUAGCUGGUCUGAGAGGAUGACCAGCCACACUGGAACUGAGACACGGUCCAGACUCCUACGGGAGGCAGCAGUGGGGAAUAUUGCACAAUGGGCGCAAGCCUGAUGCAGCCAUGCCGCGUGUGUGAAGAAGGCCUUCGGGUUGUAAAGCACUUUCAGCGGGGAGGAAGGCGUUGAGGUUAAUAACCUUGUCGAUUGACGUUACCCGCAGAAGAAGCACCGGCUAACUCCGUGCCAGCAGCCGCGGUAAUACGGAGGGUGCAAGCGUUAAUCGGAAUUACUGGGCGUAAAGCGCACGCAGGCGGUCUGUCAAGUCGGAUGUGAAAUCCCCGGGCUCAACCUGGGAACUGCAUUCGAAACUGGCAGGCUAGAGUCUUGUAGAGGGGGGUAGAAUUCCAGGUGUAGCGGUGAAAUGCGUAGAGAUCUGGAGGAAUACCGGUGGCGAAGGCGGCCCCCUGGACAAAGACUGACGCUCAGGUGCGAAAGCGUGGGGAGCAAACAGGAUUAGAUACCCUGGUAGUCCACGCCGUAAACGAUGUCGAUUUGGAGGUUGUGCCCUUGAGGCGUGGCUUCCGGAGCUAACGCGUUAAAUCGACCGCCUGGGGAGUACGGCCGCAAGGUUAAAACUCAAAUGAAUUGACGGGGGCCCGCACAAGCGGUGGAGCAUGUGGUUUAAUUCGAUGCAACGCGAAGAACCUUACCUGGUCUUGACAUCCACAGAACUUUCCAGAGAUGGAUUGGUGCCUUCGGGAACUGUGAGACAGGUGCUGCAUGGCUGUCGUCAGCUCGUGUUGUGAAAUGUUGGGUUAAGUCCCGCAACGAGCGCAACCCUUAUCCUUUGUUGCCAGCGGUCCGGCCGGGAACUCAAAGGAGACUGCCAGUGAUAAACUGGAGGAAGGUGGGGAUGACGUCAAGUCAUCAUGGCCCUUACGACCAGGGCUACACACGUGCUACAAUGGCAUAUACAAAGAGAAGCGACCUCGCGAGAGCAAGCGGACCUCAUAAAGUAUGUCGUAGUCCGGAUUGGAGUCUGCAACUCGACUCCAUGAAGUCGGAAUCGCUAGUAAUCGUAGAUCAGAAUGCUACGGUGAAUACGUUCCCGGGCCUUGUACACACCGCCCGUCACACCAUGGGAGUGGGUUGCAAAAGAAGUAGGUAGCUUAACCUUCGGGAG
rnacentral:rRNA from 1 species